UACAGAGGUCUCAAGCGUUGUUCGGAUUCAUUGGGCGUAAAGGGUGCGUAGGUGGCGCGGUAAGUCGGGUGUGAAAUUUCGGAGCUUAACUCCGAAACUGCAUUCGAUACUGCCGUGCUUGAGGACUGGAGAGGAGACUGGAAUUUACGGUGUAGCAGUGAAAUGCGUAGAGAUCGUAAGGAAGACCAGUGGCGAAGGCGGGUCUCUGGACAGUUCCUGACGCUGAGGCACGAAAGCGUGGGGAUCAAACAGG
rnacentral:rRNA from 1 species